GUGUCAGCAGCCGCGGUAAUACGUAGGUGGCAAGCGUUAUCCGGAAUUAUUGGGCGUAAAGCGCGCGCAGGUGGUUUCUUAAGUCUGAUGUGAAAGCCCACGGCUCAACCGUGGAGGGUCAUUGGAAACUGGGAGACUUGAGUGCAGAAGAGGAAAGUGGAAUUCCACGUGUAGCGGUGAAAUGCGUAGGGAUAUGGAGGAACACCAGUGGCGAAGGCGUCGUUCUGGUCUGUAACUGACACAGAGGCGCGGAAGCAAGGGG
rnacentral:rRNA from 1 species